GGCCUGGUAGCUCAGCUGGUAGAGCAGCGGACUGAAAAUCCGCGUGUCGGCGGUUCGAUUCCGUCCCAGGCCACCA
rnacentral:tRNA from 1 species